rnacentral:rRNA from 1 species
AUGGCUCUGAACGAUGGCCUCGCCAGGUUCAGGCUGCAGCAGGAGAGGAACCAGGCGAUUCUGUCAACCGUCGCCGCUACCAGAACCUCUUCAUCAUCAUCCACCAGAACGUCCCAGCAGCAGCCCGCUCCAACUCCAAGGCCGGCGGCUAAGCCAUCACCGUCCGCGCCCGCUGCCGUCAGGUUCUCCGAUGACACGGCGCGGCUACAGAAGAUCAACGAAGUGAGGACGUCCACCGUCGGAUCACAGCUCAAAAAGGUAAUCGAGCUGCUCGAGAAGACGAGGGAUGCUCUUACGGCGCAUCAGAUCAACGAACAGAUCUACGUUGACAUCGACGGUAACAACGACGUCGCCGACAGCCUGAGGAACAACGCCAAGGUGCGCUUCGACAGGCGGCGCUACUCCUACAAGCCCACGCACGACCUGAAGGCCAAAGGCGAGCUGCUGACACUGAUCAAGAGCUUGCCGGACGGCCUCCUGGUCUCGGAGGUGAAGGACACGUAUCCAGCCGUGCACGACGACCUGCAGGCCCUGAAUCCUCGGGGGACGUCUAUCUGCUACCGGGGGAGGGGGGCGCCAUUGCCUAUCCCAACGACCCGAGGUUGA